GUCGUAACAGGUUUCCGUAGGUGAACCUGCGGAAGGAUCAUUG
rnacentral:rRNA from 1 species